rnacentral:rRNA from 1 species
AGUCGAGCGCCCCGCAAGGGGAGCGGCAGACGGGUGAGUAACGCGUGGGAAUCUACCCAGCUCUACGGAACAACUCCGGGAAACUGGAGCCAAUACCGUAUACGUCCUUCGGGAGAAAGAUCUAUCGGAGUUGGAUGAGCCCGCGUUGGAUUAGCUAGUUGGUGGGGUAAUGGCCUACCAAGGCGACGAUCCAUAGCUGGUCUGAGAGGAUGAUCAGCCACACUGGGACUGAGACACGGCCCAGACUCCUACGGGAGGCAGCAGUGGGGAAUAUUGGACAAUGGGCGAAAGCCUGAUCCAGCCAUGCCGCGUGAGUGAUGAAGGCCCUAGGGUUGUAAAGCUCUUUCACCGGUGAAGAUAAUGACGGUAAUCGGAGAAGAAGCCCCGGCUAACCUCGUGCCAGCAGCCGCGGUAAUACGAAGGGGGCUAGCGUUGUUCGGAAUUACUGGGCGUAAAGCGUGCGCAGGCGGUUUGCUAANACCGAUGUGAAAUCCCCGGGCUCAACCUGGGAACUGCAUUGGUGACUGGCAGGCUAGAGUAUGGCAGAGGGGGGUAGAAUUCCACGUGUAGCAGUGAAAUGCGUAGAGAUGUGGAGGAAUACCGAUGGCGAANGCAGCCCCCUGGGCCAAUACUGACGCUCAUGCACGAAAGCGUGNGGAGCAAACANGAUUAGAUACCCUGGU